UACAGAGGGUGCAAGCGUUAAUCGGAAUUACUGGGCGUAAAGCGCGCGUAGGCGGUUAUUUAAGUCGGGUGUGAAAGCCCCGGGCUCAACCUGGGAAUUGCAUCCGAUACUGAGUAACUAGAGUAUGAGAGAGGGAGGUAGAAUUCCACGUGUAGCAGUGAAAUGCGUAGAGAUGUGGAGGAACACCGAUGGCGAAGGCAGCCCCCUGGGCUAACACUGACGCUCAUGCACGAAAGCGUGGGGAGCAAACAGG
rnacentral:rRNA from 1 species